rnacentral:rRNA from 1 species
GGUUGAUCCUGCCGGACCUGACUGCUAUCGGAUUGAUACUAAGCCAUGCGAGUCAUUGUAGCAAUACAAGGCAUACGGCUCAGUAACGCGUAGUCAACCUAACCUAUGGACGGGAAUAACCUCGGGAAACUGAGAAUAAUGCCCGAUAGAACACUAUGCCUGGAAUGGUUUGUGUUCCAAAUGAUUUAUCGCUAUAGGAUGGGACUGCGGCCUAUCAGUUUGUUGGUGAGGUAAUGGCCCACCAAGACUAUUACAGGUACGGGCUCUGAGAGGAGUAGCCCGGAGAUGGGUACUGAGACACGGACCCAGGCCCUAUGGGGCGCAGCAGGCGAGAAAACUUUGCAAUGUGCGAAAGCACGACAAGGUUAAUCCGAGUGAUUUGUGCUAAACGAAUCUUUUGUUAGUCCUAGAAACACUAACGAAUAAGGGGUGGGCAAGUUCUGGUGUCAGCCGCCGCGGUAAAACCAGCACCUCAAGUGGUCAGGAUGAUUAUUGGGCCUAAAGCAUCCGUAGCCGGCUCUGUAAGUUUUCGGUUAAAUCUGUACGCUUAACGUACAGGCUGCCGGGAAUACUGCAGAGCUAGGGAGUGGGAGAGGUAGACGGUACUCGGUAGGAAGUGGUAAAAUGCUUUGAUCUAUCGAUGACCACCUGUGGCGAAGGCGGUCUACCAGAACACGUCCGACGGUGAGGGAUGAAAGCUGGGGGAGCAAACCGGAUUAGAUACCCGGGUAGUCCCAGCUGUAAACUAUGCAAACUCAGUGAUGCAUUGGCUUGUGGCCAAUGCAGUGCUGCAGGGAAGCCGUUAAGUUUGCCGCCUGGUAAGUACGUACGCAAGUAUGAAACUUAAAGGAAUUGGCGGGGGAGCACCACAAGGGGUGAAGCCUGCGGUUCAAUUGGAGUCAACGCCGGG